CCGUAGGUGAACCUGCGGAAGGAUCAACCCCUGUGAUAGUUUGUGGGCAAGUCUCCCCCCCGUGUGUCCAUUGGAUCUGGAUGCGCGGCGGUUGGGGGGGCCUGGUCU
rnacentral:rRNA from 1 species